rnacentral:lncRNA from 1 species
CACCCAUGUUGUUGUGAAAUACAUGAUUUCAUUCUUUGCUCUGGCUGAAUUGUAUUCCAUUGUGUUUUUAUACCACAUUUUCUUUAUCCAGUUGUCCAUUGAUUGGCGCUUAGGUUGAUUCCAUAUCUUUGCUAUUGUGAUCAGUGCUGCUAUAAACAUAUGAGUGCAGGCAUCUUUUUGAUAUAAUGAUUUCUUUUCCUUUGGGUAGAUACCCAGUACUGGGAUUGCUGGAUCAGAUGGUAGUUCUAUUUUCAGUUCUUUGAGAAAUCUCC